UUUGAUUUUGUUACUCUACUUGAUACCAGCUGAUAGGGAGUGAGUUGAAGCUGUGAUUGAGGAAGAAAAAGAAGGGAUUGGAGGAGUAUUUCGCAGCUCUUUUGCAGUAAAUAGCUGAAUGGAAGAUUACUAAGCUGAGGUAAAGAGGAGUUCCAGCAGCCAUAGAAGCUGGAAUUAUUAUGGUUUUCAACCUUAAUUCAGAGGAGGAAUAGAACUGGAACGUAGAAAGAGCUUGGAGGUCAGGUUGGGGGCUGAAUACUUGGCCUUCAUGGGCUAGGUCGAGGAUAUAUCAACCAGCAAACCAGAGUUACAACAGAUUUGCGAACCACGUUGAGCUAAUCUCGUGACCUGGGGGACUAGUUUGGAAGGUGGUUAAACUAAGGUGAGAUUGCAAUCGAGUCUUGGAUCGUCUUCGGCUGACUUGUGAGGACUCUUGGAGGUUACAUUUGAGGCACUAAUGUAACCCAAACCAAGGAUUCAAGACUGAAGUCUAGUAGAGCUGAAUUUCGGGAUGUCGUUGAACUGAUUUGAGCCUAGUAAUAGGUGGGUUUGACCUAACCAGAGCAAGUGAAGCUCCCCUAUGUUCUAUAUGUUACUAUAGAAUUGAUAUAGUCGUGCGUUAUCGUCACUAUGUGGUUGCCAAA